AGCAAAUGAAGACUUGUAGAUCAGAGAGUCCAGUUCUAUCCUGUCCAGUCAUCCUCCACCACCACCAUCUCCUUUCUCAGCCUCAGGUGACCCGUCUGCCUCCGAUGAUCUCCGCUCCUCUUCUUGGUCCAGGUAAUAGCCUGAGUCACCUGUCACCUGAUCCCAAGAUGUUGGCUCCUCUUUCCCACAUGAUGCCACUCUGCAGCCCAAGAGGUCACCUGGAACUGAAGACCUCCGUAAAACUGUGAGUCUGAG